rnacentral:rRNA from 1 species
UAGUAGCAUUAUACCGUGAAACUGCGAAUGGCUCAUUAAAUCAGUUAUCGUUUAUUUGAUAGUACCUUACUACUUGGAUAACCGUGGUAAUUCUAGAGCUAAUACAUGCUUAAAACCCCAACUUUGGGAGGGGUGUAUUUAUUAGAUAAAAAACCAACGCCCUUCGGGGCUUCUUGGUGAUUCAUGAUAACUUUACGGAUCGCAUGGCCUUGCGCCGGCGACGGUUCAUUCAAAUUUCUGCCCUAUCAACUUUCGAUGGUAAGGUAUUGGCUUACCAUGGUUUCAACGGGUAACGGGGAAUUAGGGUUCGAUUCCGGAGAGGGAGCCUGAGAAACGGCUACCACAUCCAAGGAAGGCAGCAGGCGCGCAAAUUACCCAAUCCCGACACGGGGAGGUAGUGACAAUAAAUACUGAUACAGGGCUCUUUUGGGUCUUGUAAUUGGAAUGAGUACAAUUUAAACCUCUUAACGAGGAACAAUUGGAGGGCAAGUCUGGUGCCAGCAGCCGCGGUAAUUCCAGCUCCAAUAGCGUAUAUUAAAGUUGUUGCAGUUAAAAAGCUCGUAGUUGAAACUUGGGUCUGGCUGGCAGGUCCGCCUCACCGCGUGUACUUGUCCGGCCGGGCCUUCCUUCUGGAGAACCUCAUGCCCUUCACUGGGCGUGUUGGGGACCAGGACUUUUACUUUGAAAAAAUUAGAGUGUUCAAAGCAGGCCUUUGCUCGAAUACGUUAGCAUGGAAUAAUAGAAUAGGACGUGCGGUCCUAUUUUGUUGGUUUCUAGGACCGCCGUAAUGAUUAAUAGGGACAGUCGGGGGCAUCAGUAUUCAAUUGUCAGAGGUGAAAUUCUUGGAUUUAUUGAAGACUAACUACUGCGAAAGCAUUUGCCAAGGAUGUUUUCAUUAAUCAGUGAACGAAAGUUAGGGGAUCGAAGACGAUCAGAUACCGUCGUAGUCUUAACCGUAAACUAUGCCGACUAGGGAUCGGGCGAUGUUCUUUUUCUGACUCGCUCGGCACCUUACGAGAAAUCAAAG